CUGGUGCCAGCAGCCGCGGUAAUUCCAGCUCCAAUAGCGUAUAUUAAAGUUGUUGCGGUUAAAAAGCUCGUAGUUGGAUCUCAGUUCCGGACCGACGGUACGCCGCCCGGCGUCUACUGUCGGCUUCCGAACGCUAAAGCCCGUCGGCUCGGUCGGGGUGCUCUUCAUCGAGUGUCCCGGGCGGCCGGCACGUUUACUUUGAAAAAAUUAGGGUGCUCAGAGCAGGCCAAGGCGCCUGAAUACUUGUGCAUGGAAUAAUGGAAUAGGACCUCGGUUCUAUUUUGUUGGUUUUAAGAGCCCGAGGUAAUGAUUAAUAGGAACAGACGGGGGCAUUCGUAUUGCGACGUUAGAGGUGAAAUUCUUGGAUCGUCGCAAGACGAACUACUGCGAAAGCAUUUGCCAAGAAUGUUUUCAUUAAUCAAGAACGAAAGUUA
rnacentral:rRNA from 1 species